rnacentral:lncRNA from 1 species
AGAUCAGCCCCAGCAAAAGCUCUCCCACGUAGGAAAUGGGCCUUACGUGGAAAAUUGACUGCGCCUGCGCGAGACCGUGGGGCUGGCGCUCCCUACAACUGCCCCCGAAGCAACAUUAUGCAGCAUAUCAUGUAAAUACGGGACCGCAUUGUCAACUUUUGAACUGUUAUGAUGGUGGGGAAACUGUGGACAUGGAAGGACAACUGUUAUUGACAUUAUGAAUCAGUUCUGGAAAGAAUGAGUUGCUGUCCAAUAGACACACACACACCCUGUGGAAGGGAUCCAAGAGCCUUCAUCGAACAGCUGAUGGAAGGAGAAGCAGACACCCACAGCCAACCACUCAACUGAAUUGGCAUCCAGUUGCAGAGAGGGAGGAGUGAUGAGCAAAAGAGUCAAGGCCAAGUCAAGUCAAGUCAAGUCAAGGCUGGUGAAACCCACAGAAACAGCUGACCUGAACAAGGGGGAAGCUCUUGGCCCCCAGCAUAGGGCUGAUCCAGACACAUGAACAUGGGUAUUAGUGAGGAGGCCUGGGAAAUCUAUAGGGCCUCUUGUAGUAGAUCAGUACUUAUCCCUAGCAUAGGAAUGGACUUUGGGAGCCCAUUUCACAUAGAAGGAUAUUCCCUCAACCUAGACACAAGGGGAGGGCCUAGG